rnacentral:rRNA from 1 species
GACGAACGCUGGCGGCGUGCUUAACACAUGCAAGUCGAACGAAGUGGCGAACGGGUGAGUAAUACGUGGGUAACCUGCCCUCCUUUUUGGGAUAAGCCUUGGAAACGGGGUCUAAUACCGAAUAAAGGGGGAUGGGCUCGCGGCCUAUCAGCUGGUUGGUGGGGUGUGGGCCUACCAAGGCGGUGACGGGUAGCCGGCCUGAGAGGGUGACUGGCCACAUUGAGACGGGGAUACGGCCCAGGCUCCUACGCGGGGGGGCAGUGGGGGAUAUUGCACAAUGGGCGAAGGCCUGAUGCAGCGACGCCGCGUGGGGGAUUAAGGCUUUCGGGUUGUAAACCGCGUUCGCUAUCGAGCGGGUAGGUGGAGAAGAAGCGCCGGCUAACUACGUGCCAGCAGCCGCGGUAAUAC